GAUCCUCGGCUCAGGAUGAACGCUAGCGACAGGCUUAACACAUGCAAGUCGAGGGGCAUCAUGAGGUAGCAAUACCUUGAUGGCGACCGGCGCACGGGUGAGUAACGCGUAUGCAACCUGCCUGAUACCGGGGUAUAGCCCAUGGAAACGUGGAUUAACACCCCAUAGUACUUUUAUCCUGCAUGGGAUGUGAGUUAAAUGUUUAAGGUAUCGGAUGGGCAUGCGUCCUAUUAG
rnacentral:rRNA from 1 species